GUGGGUAGUUUGACUGGGGCGGUCUCCUCCCAAAGAGUAACGGAGGAGCACGAAGGUUAGCUAAUCCUGGUCGGACAUCAGGAGGUUAGUGCAAUGGCAUAAGCUAGCUUGACUGCGAGCGUGACGGCGCGAGCAGGUGCGAAAGCAGGUCAUAGUGAUCCGGUGGUUCUGAAUGGAAGGGCCAUCGCUCAACGGAUAAAAGGUACUCCGGGGAUAACAGGCUGAUACCGCCCAAGAGUUCAUAUCGACGGCGGUGUUUGGCACCUCGAUGUCGGCUCAUCACAUCCUGGGGCUGAAGUAGGUCCCAAGGGUAUGGCUGUUCGCCAUUUAAAGUGGUACGCGAGCUGGGUUUAGAACGUCGUGAGACAGUUCGGUCCCUAUCUGCCGUGGGCGCUGGAGAAUUGAGGGGGGCUGCUCCUAGUACGAGAGGACCGGAGUGGACGCAUCACUGGUGUUCGGGUUGUCAUGCCAAUGGCAUUGCCCGGUAGCUAAAUGCGGAAGAGAUAAGUGCUGAAAGCAUCUAAGCACGAAACUUGCCCCGAGAUGAGUUCUCCCUGAGACUUUAAGUCUCCUGAAGGAACGUUAAAGACGAUGACGUUGAUAGGUCGGGUGUGUAAGCGUAGCGAUACGUUGAGCUAACCGAUACUAAUGAACCGUGAGG
rnacentral:rRNA from 1 species